UACGUAGGGUGCGAGCGUUAAUCGGAAUUACUGGGCGUAAAGCGUGCGCAGGCGGUUUUGUAAGCCAGAUGUGAAAGCCCCGGGCUUAACCUGGGAAUGGCAUUUGAGACUGCAUAGCUAGGGUGCGGAAGAGGGAAGCGGAAUUUCCGGUGUAGCGGUGAAAUGCGUAGAUAUCGGAAGGAACACCAGUGGCGAAAGCGGCUUCCUGGUCCAGCACCGACGUUCAGGCACGAAAGCGUGGGGAGCAAACAGG
rnacentral:rRNA from 1 species